AGAAUUGUGUUAUUUUGAAUCCUGGACUCCUGUUACUAUGUAAUAUUAGUACUUUAACAUUGUUUAUGGUGAUGAUUGCAUUCAUUAUGGCUUGGUUUCCAUGAUGUCGUCACCAGGGUAAUAGGGGUAUAUGUCAUUCAGCCAUUUAUCCAAAUCUGUUUGAAACAUUUGGAUGCUGUUAACUUGUGUUAUUUUCAAUCCUGGACUCCUGUUACCAUG
rnacentral:lncRNA from 1 species